rnacentral:rRNA from 1 species
UACAGAGGUCUCAAGCGUUGUUCGGAUUCAUUGGGCGUAAAGGGUGCGUAGGUGGCGAUGCAAGUCUGGUGUGAAAUCUCGGGGCUCGACCCCGAAAUUGCACCGGAUACUGCGUUGCUCGAGGAUUGUAGAGGAGAGUGGAAUUCACGGUGUAGCAGUGAAAUGCGUAGAUAUCGUGAGGAAGACCAGUUGCGAAGGCGACUCUCUGGGCAAUUCCUGACACUGAGGCACGAAGGCCAGGGGAGCAAACGGG